AUCCAUGAGUAAAGUGGCGACCGGGUGAGUAACACGUGACUAACCUACCUUCGAGUGGGGGAUAACAUCGGGAAACCGAUGCUAAUACCGCAUAACAUCGCAAGAUCAAAGCAGCAAUGCGCUUGAAGAGGGGGUCGCGGCUGAUUAGCUAGUUGGUAGGGUAAUGGCCUACCAAGGCUUAGAUCGGUAGCCGGCCUGAGAGGGCGCACGGCCACACUGGAACUGAAACACGGUCCAGACUCCUACGGGAGGCAGCAGUGGGGAAUUUUGCGCAAUGGGGGAAACCCUGACGCAGCAACGCCGCGUGGAGGAUGAAGUCCCUUGGGACGUAAACUCCUUUCGACCGGGAAGAUACUGACGGUACCGGAAGAAGAAGCACCGGCUAACUCUGUGCCAGCAGCCGCGGUAAUACAGAGGGUGCGAGCGUUGUUCGGAAUUAUUGGGCGUAAAGGGCGCGUAGGCGGCGCGGUAUGUCACCUGUGAAAUCUCCUGGCUCAACUGGGAGCUUGCAGGCGAAACUGCCGUGCUGGAGUGUGGGAGAGGUGCGUGGAAUUCCUGGUGUAGCGGUGAAAUGCGUAGAUAUCAGGAAGAACACCUGUGGCGAAAGCGGCGCACUGGACCACAACU
rnacentral:rRNA from 1 species